AUUGAACGCUAGCGGGAUGCUUUACACAUGCAAGUCGAACGGCAGCGCGGACUUCGGUCUGGCGGCGAGUGGCGAACGGGUGAGUAAUGUAUCGGAACGUGCCCAGUAGCGGGGGAUAACUACGCGAAAGCGUAGCUAAUACCGCAUACGCCCUACGGGGUAAAGCAGGGGAUCGUAAGACCUUGCACUAUUGGAGCGGCCGAUAUCGGAUUAGCUAGUUGGUGAGGUAACGGCUCACCAAGGCGACGAUCCGUAGCUGGUUUGAGAGGACGACCAGCCACACUGGGACUGAGACACGGCCCAGACUCCUACGGGAGGCAGCAGUGGGGAAUUUUGGACAAUGGGGGCAACCCUGAUCCAGCCAUCCCGCGUGUGCGAUGAAGGCCUUCGGGUUGUAAAGCACUUUUGGCAGGAAAGAAACGUCGCGGGCUAAUACCCCGUGGAACUGACGGUACCUGCAGAAUAAGCACCGGCUAACUACGUG
rnacentral:rRNA from 1 species